GGAGAGAUGGCUCAGUGGUUAAGAGCACUGGAUACUCUUCCAGAAGAUCCAGGUUUGAUUCCUAGCACCA
rnacentral:tRNA from 1 species